GAUGACUAUAGCGAGUUGGUACCACCCCUUCCCAUCCCGAACAGGACCGUGAAACGACUUUGCGCCGAUGAUAGUGCUGCAACCAGUGUGAAAGUAGGUCAUCGUC
rnacentral:rRNA from 1 species